AAACAAACAAACAAACAAAAAAAAUAAAAAAUAAAUAAAAAAUAAGGGUGGUAAUGAUUAGAGAAAUCUAACUGCCCUAAACACAAUGUUAUGGAUAAUCUGAUCUCUUGAGAGAUCCAAUAAAAUGUUAACAAUAACUGAUUCUGUUUGAUCACCUUGCUUUUGUGUUACUUUUAAAGCACUUUGUUGUUUGUAGUUGUACAUUGUCUUGUGUUCAUUAUAUCAGUAAAAUUCUCACAGCUUCAA